AGGAAGUUUAUAUAUAGUUUAGUUGUUUAGAAUUGUGAGUGUUUAGAUGUAAACAUUUUAAAAGCAUGAGAAGGAAAUCUUGUAUUACUGAGGUUGUUUUUGGGUUAUACUACUCUGAAUGGUUGCAUUCAUUGUUUCACAUUUUUAAUGUCCACAGCUCAGGACUUGGGCUUUUUUUUUUUAAUAUGUCAAGAAUUAAAGUGAGAAUUGAAAAGAAAAAAGAAAAAAAGAAGAAAGAAAAGCUCCUUAUUGUCUAUAGCAUAAAAUCCAUUAGCCCAGCACAAGACUUUCCUUAAACUGGUCCAACUCUCAACCUGUCCCAUGUCCCACAACCCUCUUUCUCACCCCCACCCCUUGACCUUUUGUCUUUCCAUCCCCAUUACAUCUUUGUUUUGUAUGUUUGUUGGGGGACUGGGGUGGAGGUGGCCAGGAAUGAAAUGAAAGAGAUAGGCAGGGACCUUGCUUCUGGCAAUGGGGAGCCACUGGGUGAGUUAAGCAGACACAAGCCUGGCCAGCUUAUAGUUGGGCUUCCUCAGCCUCCUCUUGUGGUUUUACCUAGGAGCUUACCCAGUUGGAGUCUUUCUCCAGACUCCUGGGUCUCAAUGAGCUCCCACUGGCCACGGGCCAGCACCUUCCUUGGCUCAUGCAACCUUGGCUGCUUUGUUAAUGGUCUUGCUCCAUGGGUCCUGGGAUUUCUGAUUCUGGGAGAGCUGAACGCAGAUAAAGCCUGGACUCUCUCCUGAAGCUCCAGUCCAUGUUAAAGCUGUUCCUCGUCUGAAUAGAACUGUCACUGAGUGGGAAGGAGUGGGCAUGUGUGCCCCAUGGCUGGGGGGGUGGUCUACAGUGAAGCCAAGGUCCCACUGCCUUUUGUGUUUCAAACAAGUACUGUUUCCUUCAAAUGGUUUUUGCAACUCAGUCCCUAAUCAACAGGAUAUAAGUGCCACAAGGAUGGAGGAAAAGGGGACACAGUGCCCAGCCUAAGCCAAAAGAGCCUAUGUCGAGGGGCCCCCACAGAAGCCUGUGUUUUCAUUACUAAGCAACUUUAGGAGGAGUAUGGGGAAAGAAAGACGGUGGGGUAGUAAGUCUGCAAUAAUGGCUGCCAUGUGGAGGGAAGGCAAUGUUACCCAGCUACGAACUAGAAAGCAUGGUUUAUAUUUUCAACAGUUGGAGAGAGAAAUGAAAACUGAAUAUUUGCUGCACCUGUGAAAACAUAUUUGAUCAUGAUGGCAAGUCCAGCAUUUUUAGUGCGGGAUUCAUAUUUCAUAACUCGUGUUCAAACAAGAAAAAUGAUUAUAAUGUUAAGUAUUUCCUGAGUUUAUUUUGAUGGAUGACAGAAUAAGUACUGUAUCUUUCACUCAUUAAAAUACAGAUUGGUGUAAUUUAAUAAAUGAACUUAAUACACAGAUGUUCCAGGCUGUUUUACCAGGGUGUAUAUUAAUCAACUUCUUUAUAUAUGAUCCUCUUUUAUAUUUUUUAAAGAAACUUGCAGGAGCCAAGAAUUUAUUAGAUUUGUAUGCUCUAGGACGAGUAUCCAAUGUCAGGUACAUGCAGGAGUGUAUUAAGAUGAAACGGAGCCAGAGUCUGCAGAGCGGCCAGGCCCCCACAAGGGUCGUCCUGGGCUUCCAGCCGGCUCUCUGGGUCAUCUCAGAGCCAGCUCACAGGUCCCUGCUGAGCUUACUUGCUGCCACUGCCCCAGGUCUGCUCAGAGGUGCUUCUGGAGACCCUGGGCGGAAGUGGUAGGCUUGGGCACUGAGAUGGUCCAGACUGGACAGUGGCUCUGCUGGGGAAGAGGCCUGCAGCCCAGGGGGCCUCACAGGCCCUUCUCAGAUUCCUUGGCCACCCUCAAUGGCCUCUCAACUCAACGUCACUCUCCCUUUCCUCACUCUCUCUUGGCAGCAUGUUUGGGGGCUAUGCUUUGUUCUGUCUGUGUUUCACGCAAGGGAAGCUCGCCUCGCUAAUGAGGCUACAAACUCCUGAAGGCAGGGGCUGUGCCUUUGCCAGAUCCCACAGUCUGUGCUCAAGGAAUCUGCGGGUCUGUACCGAUUCUAUGUGUCUGAGUCAGGACCUGCCUUCUGACUGAGGAGGCUCUGGAAGGGGACAUAGAAACCCUGGUUUGGCCAUUCUAGAGGGUGCAGGUUGAGAGGGGUAGAGAGGGUGGGGACACAACGCUAACUUACCUCUCUGGUGAAGGACAGAGAAAGCAUGAGAGUAGGAACUUCAGCUACCUCUUCUCUCAUUUACGAAUCCUGUUGAAAAGUGACUUCAGGUUCAGGGAAGUGGUCUCUGGCUGGCAGCAGUGGUGGGAGGACUGGAGGAGGUGUCUUGGGCCACACAGCCUGCUCUGUCCACACAGAGCCCUCAGUUGUCUCUUGAAGCACCUUGCACUCUCUCGUGGUUCUGGAACUAGAGUUUUAUUUCUUGAUGCACAACUCUGGAUAGAGACACUGCAAGGCCGGGGGCCACAUAUCAUCCAUUUUGGCACCUCUGUCCUCAUCAGAGUUUAGCCCAGGCCCCUUGUGCCCUCUCCUCAUCACCUAGGUGGAUGGUCAGUGCAGGUUGGCUUGUAUGACAUGAGAUAAGCCCGCCACCCAGAACAGAAACACUGGUGUCCCUCCAGCUCCCCCCAAGGAUGGGUGCUCCCUGGCAGCUGCAGGCUGAGCCGGCCCAUUCCCCCUGCAGACCCUCUGCACCCCUCGGUGGCUCAUCAAUCACACAGGCAGGUCCUGCGGGUGGGUAGUGGCUCUGCUGUCACAUGCCUGUUUGCAAUAAGCUCUGGCCAUAAUCAUUAAUCAUUCAUUGAAGCUGUGGUUAGCGGCCCUCAGUCAAGUAGAUGGUUUCAGGUUUUCCGAGCUAAGUGCCUCUCCAGCAAGCAUCCUCCUCAGCCCUUUCAUGUCCAGCCAUUUGAUGUUCUGUGCAUGCCGAGCUGGCCUCCAAGGCCAGGCUUUGUUUUGGAGGGUUGUUCUGAAUGCUUCCCUCAGGGCCAGGCCAAGAGAGGUCUGGGCUCCAGCUCCACGUCUUCACAGGAAAUAGAGCUUGUAGGAUGAGUCUCUGUUGAGCACUUCCGAGAGCCCAGUUCUCUGCCAGGCCAUGGGGAUCUUAGAGAAAGAGAAAGUACUCACUCUACCCUCAGUCCCCCAUUUAGGGACAGAGCUCAUGCAAGAAGUUGACCAGCAAAUGGAAUUUAUUAGGAUGGAGAGGACUCAAACAGCUCUUUGGUCUGCAGAUUUCCCAGGAGGGUAGAUGCCUGGAGGCUGGGUGGUGGAGCUGGAGAGCUGAGGGAAUACAAGAGCAGAGGCUCAGGUGAGGACAGCUGUGUUGUGUGGUCUGAGCCGGGCCUUCGGUCUGAAAGGCAGACUGAAACUGUUGGGCAAUUGUCUGGAAACAGUGGUGACAAUGAAAACCUUUUUUGCUGGGAGAAACAUUGAGAAAAAUUAACUUUACGUUUAAUCUGAAGAUGACAGUUUCCUGCAAGUUACUAAUACGGUUAUUGUCAGAGGUUCCUGAGUUGCUUGAAAAGAUGCGUAAUGCACAGGAGUGGAAUAUCCCGGGAAAAGCUGGGACUAGAGUUCCGUCGGGUUCAGCAAACACUUGUCGGCGCCUCCUAGGUGCUCGGGGCCACCAUGGUGCCAUAGAGCCAUUUCUAUGUCAAGGGCCCAGGAAAUGUCCUGUAAAUGCAGACAGAAGAGUUGGAGCAGGCUACAAGGGCCACGCCUGGCUCCACAGUUCCAGCGGGGAGGGACUCAGGAGUCUAGAGCUACAAGGAGCAGGGGCUGGAGGUUUUUGGUUGUUGAAAUGUGAAGUUGAUGUAGAGAUAUUACUGAGGCUGAUACCCCAGCCACCAUUUCAGUAUCUCUCCCAGAGAAUGUUUCUUGCCGAGAAACAUUCACUGUGUGUUCAUCCACUGAGGCGCACAGCUUUGAACCAAUAAAAGAACGGUGGGUAUUCAGAAGUAAGAGACAUUGCAUCUGGUUGAGGGGGAUCAGGAAUGGGUGCAUCUAGCAGAUGGUCUUUGGCAAGGUCUGGAAGGAUAGGAAAGACUUUCCCAGGAGUGGGCUAGAAAGGAGUUUGCCAGGUGGAUGGAGGAGGGGACACAAAAGCACAGAGGAUAGCCUGAAUUGCUGGCUGCUAGGGUCCUUGUGCCAGGGUGGAGGAAGAUGAGGCUGGUGGCACAGGGUGGCAUGAAGCUUGGAGUUCCAGGCUGAGUCUCUAGCCCUGGGGAGCUCUGCUCUGCUCCUAGGUCACCACCCUACCUGCUUUAUCCCUGUGUUCUCACCCACACUUCUCAUCCCUGUUACACAAGAUGCUCUCUGCCACCUGAGAAACUUGGGAAAUUUUUCCUCUCUUUGCCUCCUGGAGAAUUUCCCCUCAUCUUGCAAGAUCCAACUCACAUGGUAGCUCUUCCUUGCAGCCUUCCCUAACUGCCAUGAUCUGCAUGGAUUCCCCUCCCCACACUGAGGGCUUAUGAUGCUGCCCACCACCGACUGGAAGCUGUUUGGGGGUGAAGGGUGGUGACAAUCUGACACCUGCUUCUGCUACUCACUGCCUGGGUAACCAGCCAUCUUGAUUUCCUUAUCUGUUGGAAAGAAAAAACAUUGCAAUACCAAUGCAUUAGCAAUAAGUGGAAUAAAUGAAAUGGUUUGUGUGUCAUGCCUGCUACAGCAUUUGGAACAGAGUAGUCAGACAAGGUUAGGCUUCUUCUCACUCCCUGACCACGUUCUGCCUAUGCCAUUGUCAGCCAUUCACAGGUAAGUCUCUGCAACCAGGCUGUGAGGUCCAUGGCGGGGAACCCAUGUUUCUCGUGCUCUCUGUGUCUUGCACAGUUACAGACUGGAGCAUGGGCUUGCACUACUUACUAUGGUUGCCUUGAAAUCUGCUUCAACAGGACUCCACCGUGGAGAAGGAGCACAGGAACUCUUCAGGGAAAUUUGUAGAUGCGGGAAUCAAGUUUGUUUGUUUGUUUUUCUUAUGAAUGUUCUGAUUAAGCCAGAAACUUCCUGAAGUCAUACAAUUCUCCUAUCCCCAGAGAAGGAUUUGAAUAAAGUAUCCUCUUGCUGGAAGGAAAAUUAGAGAUAAUUAGUCUAGUGGUUUUAAAAAUUUGUAAAGGACUGGAGCCAUUUUUCUCAAGUGAAAUUUUAUAUGGAACCUUAAGCUACCCGAGCAGACAGAGCAUUAUUUUAGGAAUAUAUUGGUAUUUAUUAUUGAUUAACAAAAUUAAGUAAAUCACAUUGAGAAAUAUAUUUAUUGUAAAAUUUCACACUUAUAAUAAGUGAAUGAAUAAUAAAUCAACUUGACAAAGGUAUUUAUUUUAUAAUCUCAAACUUUAAAAAAUAUUUAAAAAUUUUUUUAAAUGUUUAUUAUUUUCAAGAGAAAGAGACACACACAGAGCAUGAGCAGGGGAGGGGCAGAGAGAGAGGGAGGCACAGAAUCUGAAGCAGGCUCCAGGUUCUGAGCUGUCAGCACAGAGCCCAACAUGGGGCUCGAACUCAUGAACCGUGAGAUCAUGACUUGACCCAAAGUUGGACUCAACUGACUGAGCCAACCAGGUGCCCCUAAAAAAAUAUUUUUAAAAUAGAAAAUUUUGAAAUAAAAUAUUUCUGAAAUCCAUAAGAUAACUUGGGUCUCUAGGGCCCAGAGCGUGUGAUAUGACUUACUGAUUAAGUCCACCUCUUUAUAACACAGAUGAGUGAACUGAGGCUUGGAAUGUGUCAAGAACAUGUCAAGGCCAUACAGAGAAUAGGUGGUUGGCUGGGGUGAGAACUUAGGUCUCCUGCCCCUACAACGCCAGGGCUCUUUCAACUAUAUUCUUGAUCUCUCCUAAUUCGUCUGAGUAAAACAGUGUUUUUCUUGUUAUGUGCUUUCUAAUAAGAUACCCCAACUCCAUAGUUUGAUUUAUAUUUAAGGCUUUCUUAUACUCCUGUGAUGAGCAUGAAACAAGCUGCUUACUGAGCUAAUAGUGCAACCCGGAAAUCUCCAUCUUUGUCUUCCCAUCUCAGCAAGAGAAUUCUGCCCUGGUGAUGGAUAAUUGAAACGGAUUUGGUCAGCCAGGCCUCUAUACUGAUGAUGGUUUUAUGUUUGCUCAUCUGUCAGAAAAGUAAAAAGCAAAGCUGGUAAUUUGUGUUAACUAAGCACCUUCAUUAUAGGAACUCAAGGGAAAGGGUGGGGAGCAAAACAUUUUUUCGUCCAGCUGUCCCGGAUCCUGAGGAUGAUUUGUGUAGUUAAGGAGAAAUUCUAAUAAUGUUGUGCGUAUGGAAAAGUUUAAGGCAAAGAUGAUGGGUCAUUUUCCAAGUGUUCGGGUUGAAUAUCAAGAGCUGUGCAGCUUCCUUCCCAACUCCUGCUUUUCCUGGCUGGGUCGAUCUCACAUUGUGCCUCUCGUGUGGGGCAGUAGUGACCUCCAUGAAUUCCCAGCUCACAGAUGGCACCUCUCCAGUGAGCCUUGACAAAGACGUAGAUGUCACACAGGGACCCAGAAUUUCCCGCUCUUCGCCGAAGAAGGCCAGAAAAAGCCUUGCUCUGGAGUAUGUUGGAUGCUCAACAUAGAAUUGCUUUCUUCCAGCUCCUACUCCUGACCCCUGGUUCUGUCUGGCAGGUGUUCAGCACCCAAUUCCAGGCAGCAUUUUAAGAGUGUCCCCUCUUGUCUUAAGGCAGCUCUUUCUGGGGUUAUUCUUACCUGCAGAGAGAACAGGCUAAUGGUCUCCUUUAUUGUCCCCUGUCCUCAGGCAGUCUUCCCCCUUCUGCUCAUACAAGAAGGUUCAAAACCCCUUCCUAGGCCAUAGAACCUCUUCUUCCCUAGCUGGGAUGGAGGGUGGGAAUCCUGAUACCUCUGAAGAGGGAGCUAAGGGUCUGAUUGUUGUGUUGGGGUAAGUGGCCCACAUUACCUCUUCCUUUGGAGCAGGAAUGGUAUGUGGGUCCUAAGAAAUUGAAAUUAUAGGACAGGAUCACAGAGAAGAAAGGAGAGAAAGUAACAAAAGAAUUAGGCCACCUGACCUAUUUUGCCCCAGGAUAAAGCAGGUGAAGAAAGAGCCCAGUCCUGGGCGUUUUGAGGUGAGGUUGUUUCCUGCUCCUUGGGACAAGGGUAGCCCUGGGUCUGACCAUCCUGAGUUAAUAAAGAUGAAAGUUCAUUCUUCAAUUUGCACCAAGAUCCUCUCUUUGUUAAAAGGCUCAGAGCUGAGCUUUUUUAAAGAGCACAUUUCAGGUAGGGUUAGAGUCACACGUACAGAAAGUGAUUUACCCACACACUUCCAAGAACACAUCCAUUAUCCAAAACAAAAUUCUAAUUGGGCCUUAAGAGUCAUCAAACAAAAAUGAAGAGAUUUUUUUCCUUAAUAGGGAAUAAGGUGUGCAUGCCCUAUAAAUCAUCUCUGCUAAUUCUGAAUGAUGCUGCAUUUGUUUAUAGGUGCAGGAAACUAUAAUGGAAGAGGGUGAGAGGAAUGUGAACUUACUGGUUUUCAACAUGGGGUACCCCAUAGGGCCUUGAGUUUUGGCUGGUCCAGUAUGGCUAAAGAUACAACAUGGAGUGACGUACUAUAACCAAAUUUAAAGGAAAACAUUAAUCUUUUGAGACCAAAAUGUGCAUCAUUUCAGCUGCUGCUGAUCACAGCUGUGGAUGGUGAGGCCCCACCCACCCACCAAUUUCCUUGACUAAUCAGGAACAUCUCUGUAUGGCCACGUCUCUCAGGCAAUUUAGAGCCAAGGGUAAAGCUGAAUGUAUCUCCCUUUGUCAGAUUCAAAUCUUCUUUCUGAGGAGGUUGUACCUGAAGAGUUAAAGGCAAGUCUGGCAAAAUAAACAGGGAUCAAAAUGUUUGCCAGGGAGUCUUUUUAAAAAAGAAUUGCUCUUUCUCUUGGAGCCUUGGUUGACCUUUAUGUGUGAGCGGGUGGAAAUGUCCCCAGGAAAUCUCCAAAACCUCAGAGGAAGCUGUUGACAGGCUUCCAGUGAACUGGGUUUUUGCUUGUGCUCUGGAGGUAGAGAAUAACAGAUGGACUUUGACAAACACGGACAGAUGAAUAUAAUCUUCAAAAAGUAAGUUUUUUACUUUUAUUUUUUUCCCACUGGCAGCAUUACAAGCUCACACUAUAGUGUUUCUGGGCACCACAGUGGGGGUCAUGGUCUAAUGGAAGUUUUAAAGAAAUUAUAAAGAGUACCUGACUGGAGUGAGGAACGCUGUGUGUUUAGACCAGUCGCCUAAGCUCUCCAUGGAGACAUGGUUACUCAUUUGUAAGUAGAGAUAACAAAAAAGCCCUACUUACAUGUCUGAGCUGUUGCAAAAACUGCAUGGGGCACCGGAGAUAUCAAACACUUUGUGAGCAGAUUGGAGGCUGCAGUAGCUCAGCUUCAGAAACUCAGCAGGAAUAUUACAUAGAGUGCAGAUUGGAGAGAGAGGGUGGUGGCAGGACAGGGCUGGAUCUGAGGGAGCAAAGGUGAGUGGAAGAACCAUUGUGCUAUCUCCAGGGAGUGAAGACAUUUUCUGUCACUCCACAGAUGUAUGCUAUCUUUACUUGGAGAUCCACUCCUUUGUUUUCCAGGCUUAGAGGCUUUUGGUCCAGUAGGAGAAAAGAGGAGGGCAGAGACUGACCCAGUGUAUGAAUCUCCUCAGAGUUUCCUGAGCAUGUGAUCAGAGGCAACACCUCCUCCCCCAAAUGGACACUGAUCCAGAGGUCAGGAUCGGAGGGAAGAUGGAUCCCAGUAGGAAGAAACAGCUGUGUACAUUUCUGCCGUUGGAACCUUUGUGGAUAAGCCCCAGAAGAUGCCAGUGGCUGACUGGGUGAUGAAAGGGUACUUGGAUGGAGGUGACCCUUAUAUCCAAGGUGACUGGUGUCCUUAUAAGAAGAGGAGAUCAGGACACACAGAGUGGUGCCAGACUUGCGUGCACACAGAGGGAAGACCGUGUGAGGACACAGGAAGAAGGUGGCCGUCUACAAGGAGAGAGGCUACAGGAGAAACCAACCUGCAGACAUCUUGGUGUCAGACUUCCAGCUUCUGGAACUGUGAGAAAAUAAGUUUCUGUCAUUUCAGCCACCCUUGUGAGGUAUUUUGUUGAGGCAGCCGGAGCAGACUGACUCACAGCUCUCCCCACUGUUUCCCCCCCGCCCCCCCCCCCCCCCCCCCCCCCCCCCCCCCGCUCCCAGGGUUUAUGCGUUCCAUCCCGUGAUUCUGCUUAUGUUCCCUUCCUCCUGGGAUGCCAUUCUCCUCCAGGGCUCCGCCACUGUCUUUCUUUUAGCAACGAAAUAAACCAACAAAACCAAACAGAACAGAAUUCUGCCUACCUUUUAAGGCCUCUCACUGCGAUGCCUCCUUUUCCAAUCAGCUGACCCGGAUCCUCUCACUUCUGGGCUCCCACGGCUGGUGGAAACAUCAGUCCUGCCCUCCCCUCCCUGCCUCCUGCUACAGUGAGUUGAGCGCAGUUACUCAGCCCGCCAUAUUGUUGGAUCUCUGGGGGCAGAAACUUGUGCUGUGGCCCAGACCCAACAGCAUGCCCCAGCAUAUAACAGGUGCUCGGUGAUUAUUUUCCAGUUACAAUUAAAAUUAUGUCUCUGCACCCAGCAGGCCAAGAGGAAAAGUGCCUGGCAUGUUCCAGUUGUUGGGAUGCUGAGACCAAAACCAUAGUCUCUGCUCCAGUUCAGGGAGGGCUAUGUGGAGGAGGGGCAUUUGAAGGAUAGGUAAGAGCUGAAGUCAUGCCUCUGUGCGAGCAAGGGAACAGAGAGCUGCUUAAUCUGAGUUCCAAAUAACUAACGUGCAUUUGACUUGAUGGCUGGGGACCCUGUUCCCUGCUCACAGAAGUCACUCAGGAACCACGAUGAGGACGAAGGCGGACCAUGCACCGGCACACCCGGCUGUCGGGCUCUGCUCCUUGGUGAAGCCCCUUCCACUGACCCUGUGGAGUGGGAAGGCACAGGUAAUGUGUAGCGGGCAGAAGCCAGGACCUCCUUUUGGAGGCUAGGACGGGUGGCACCUGUGCUGGGCCACCAGCAUCCGAGUCAGCGGCCGUCACGUGGAGUCUGUCAAGCGAGGCAUCUAGCUGGCCCGCGGCCUGGGGAGGAGGGCCCCCUGGAAGGGGAGCUUUGACACCCUCCACUCUGAUCUGAACACAGGUUUUUAAUUUCCCUGUAAUCUGCCCUUCUCCCUCUCCUGGGCUGGCUUCCCUGUCAUUUCAUUUCCUGCCGUAUUCUCAUCUUACAGCAGAGGUGAAGAGAGUUGACCUCUCCUUGCCCCAAAGCUGAAUAAAAUACAGAACAGAUUUUUUUGUGUGAAUAAAAAUAGGCUUCAAUACCACUGGCCAGUCACCUGAGGCUCCUCUCAGCACGCAGGUCUAGUUCUGUCCCAGCUACCGGCCUGUGGGACAGGGCUGCACAAGAGGGGGUGGGGGUGGGGGCGGGGGGGGACGGUCCGGGUCCCAGGGGAAGGGGCAAGAAGGCCAGCGCCCUGGUGAGAAGGGCGGCAGGCAGCGAGAGCGAGGCCAGUCCAGGUGGCUGGUGGACACCUUCGUCCUCUCCCAUGAGAGGCGGUGGUGGGCAUGGAAACCGCCCUGCAGGUUGCCCUUUCCAGGGGACCGAGGAGGAAAGAUUGAAACGUCAGCACCUAGUGGGAAAGAAAUUUCUGUCUGGAACAUUUGGGAAAAUUCCAAGAGGGAUGCAAUUAGUCUCUCCUAGCAGAGUAGGGGACAUGUGACUUUAGAGCCAGAUAGACUGCACAUCUGCCUGGUCCUCGCUUUCUGCAGCGGGCUGUGUUAUCUCAGACCAGAAACUUAAUCUCUGCGAACCUCAGUUUCUUCAUCUGUAAAAUGGAGACAAGGUAGAUUCCAUAGUUCAGCUGUGGGAAUUAAAUAGAACAGCACAUGGAAGGUGCUCAGCACAUAAAAGGUGAGUCCUGUUCUAUCUGUGUCAUCUAUUAUUUGGGUCUAGGUGUAAACGUCAGAGGGGCCGCCUCUGACCUUGCCCCCCGCGCCCCCACCCGGCCCCACCGUCUAAUGCAGUCACCGGCUCUGGGCCAUUGAGUGCCCUGUCCUCUGCAUGGCAUGGAUGCUUCCUUGUUUCUUUGUUUAAGAGUUUGUGGUCUGAAGUUUCCCGGAAGGAAAGCCUGUGAAAACAGGGGCCCAGCCUCUGUGUGGACCACGGUACCCCAGCACCCACCGUUCUCGCACAGAGUGGGCCCUGGGUCACGAGUUAUUAAAUAAAUAGCUGCAAAAAGAUGGCUAUUAUUUUUAUUGUGUCAGGGCAACCUUUUAACAUUUUAAUUGUGGUUUUGUCCCUCCCUGUAUUUUGCCAUUUUCCAUCCCCUUUUCAAGCAGUUAGCAGCCUGUGGGCUUCUUUCCUCAGGGGAGAUUUGUGGCUUGUCUGAAAGCACAAGUCGUGUGUGAGACACUCUCUUUCCUGGAUUUUGUUUCCGGAAUGUCUAAAACCAUUGACAAGAUUAUGCUAGAGCCUGGAGGGUUUAAGGAGAGAGAGAAAAGGAGGGAGGGAGAGACAGAAAGAGAGAUAGAGGAAUGAGGGAUGAGAGAGAAUGAGGGAGGGGGGACAGAGGCAGAGGGAGGGAGAGACAUUUUGCAGGAAACUUAAAGAAGGAGACACUCCCCAUCAUCCAUCCCACCAGGUCUUGAAGGAGAUUUCUGGAGUCUGGAUGGGGCAGGAGGAAGCCCUGGGUUCUGGGAACAGCAAUGGAUGCCCAUUCCCCCCCCCCCCCCACCCCAGGAUAAUGCCCUAAGGAGGGGUCAGCACUCAGAAGGUAUGGCUGUGACAUGACAUAGGGAGGCAGGGACUGGGUGCCAGGGUCCCCAGUGAUAGCAGUGGCACAAGAGUGGCAGCGUGGACCAGUGUGAUGAUGUCUGGGUGCAGCUGGCCAGGGCUGGUGGCUAAUGACCACAGGAGCCAUCCUGGUUCCCUGAGGCUCCUUUCACCCCAGAGCCAGCACUGCCGCUAGGAUGGUUGAAGUUAAACGUGCCUCAGAGUCAGAGCUCAGUUAUUCACCCUCCUCUGCGUUACUUACUCACUAAGGACUCAUGACCCGCCUUUGGGUCAUGGACUUUGAAGGGACCGAUGACCCACCCUGUGCCCUGUUUGCAGAGAGGGGUGGGGAGGUGUGAGCAGUGCCAGUCUGUUCUGAGAGAGGGCAGAAAGGAGAGUGCUACCCCUGUACCUGCUGUCACUCCUGGGCCCUGCCUGGUCCGGGGCUUCACGGGUUGUGAAGGCAUACAAGAGAGGUCAUAAUUCCCUAUCUUCCGACAGCACAACUAAAUCUAGUAAAACGGCCCCUGGACAUAGUUGAUGUAUAGUAUCUGUCACUUUUCGUGGCUUCUCCUCCUCACUUGUGUUAUAUCAGAACCUCAUGGCUUUGCGACCAAGGGGAAGCAUGGGAGAACCGGGGGCCUCACAUGUGACCACUUGCCACCCCGGUGGCUUCUUGCCCAGGGCCACGUGGUUCAUUAGAAGGCUGCCGGCUCCACUGGCAGCUGCGUGCCUGCUCUGUAUGGGGGCCUCUAGGGUUAGGGUGCUCCCUGUCCACGUUUCCCCGGGCACGCAACCGCAGGUGCCCUGCUCCUGGGCUGCAUGUGGGUGGGCUAGGGAUCUGUUUCUUCUGCCAGCUCACAUUUCCCUUGGCCACCUCCCUCUGUCUCUCCAAGAACCAGCUCCUGAUUCCUUCCCCACUAAAACUAGAUAGUUCUGUUUGUGGAGCUGGCUUUCCAGAGAAGUCUGCCUUGUCUCAUAUAAUGAUGUCUCUCUCCUCUUGCUCUGAAGAGGAGGGAUGUCAACAGGGUACCGGCUCCAAAAGAAAUGGCCAACAUCUGCAUUAGCUUCCUGUUGCUGCCAUAACAGAUUGCCACAAUGACACAGAGUUCUUAUCUCCUGGUUCUAUAUAAGUUUGACAGUGGGCUAAAAUUAAAUUGUCCACAGUGCUGUGUUCCUUUCCGGAGACCCAAGAGCUGAAGCCACUCCUUUCCUUUUCCACCUCAUAGAAGCUGCCUCAUGGCCCUUUCCUUCGUUUUGAUAGCCAGCAGGUAGCCUGUCUCUGACUUGCUCACAAAGGAGUGACACUCUAUCUGAGCAGCAACCAGAGCCUCUGAAUGGGGACCCUACAUGGCUUCUAGGACCUGCAGGCUGCAGGGGAAGGCUGGCCCCAGGGAUGUCUGCAGAUCAAGUUGCACUACCCUGGAUUUCAAAGAAGGCAACAUGGAGCAGGAAAGAGAAUUCCAGAAGCAGAGGCUGGCAGUAAGCCUGGAAAGGGUAUCCCUGGUAGCUACAGAAAAGCCUUCAGUGUCACUUCCGCGAGAUGGUUAGUCAGUCUACAAACAGUGCAUGCCAGUGCUGAGUGAGUUAUUUCACAGGACUUCAUAGAAGGGAAUGAUUGCUUCAGCACACUUGGUGGACCCCCAAGAAGGGCUGGGCCCAUCUUCUCCCCAGCCAGUAAGCUAUUGGGAAAAAAAAUCAUUUGAUGUCAAUGACUACCCAUGCCAAAGAGACACACGGGAUCAAACAGAAGAACCAUUGGUGGCGAUAAAAAGGAGAUACAUGAAUGCCCCCCCAAAUGAACUCAUUAACUUCUGAGGCCGACUUCAGCACAAAUUCAGGACUUUCCAGGAAGGUAUGGGGGAAAGACAAGGUUUUCAAAACCUGUGUGAAUCCUGCUGUACCAUUUACUAGCUCUGCUGCUUUGGCCAUAUUAUUUAACUCCUCUGCACACCAUUUUCUUAUCUAUUAAACAGGGAAACUCAGACCUAUGUUGCAGUUUAUUAUGAGAACUGAGAUAAUUCCUUUAGCACAGUGUCUGAUGAAUAGUAAAUGCCCAAUGAAUGGUAGGAAGAUCCAACUGGACAUUGUACAGAGGGUCAGAAUGCUGAGGGCUCUAUCUGCCCCUUGGAGCACAGACUGGGGACACCCCAGGUUUGGUCAGUUUUAAAGCUCAAAAGGAAGAAAGGAAAGAACCAAGACUUCAAAUCAGGUCACCCUGAGCCUUCAUACCUUAUGUGGCCGGUAAGAGUGACCUCAGUGAUUUUCUUGUUCUGGAUGUCCAAAGUGAGCUUGUAAGACUUUUUUUCCAUAGCAGAUUCAUCACGAACUCUGAGGACUGUCCCAAGGUCAACAUCAAAAUCUGGAAUUUGGAUUUCACUAGACAAAGUCAUACUCUGCCGGUUAUAUUUGAACAUCAUAGUAGCCUCAGACUGCUUCACACCUGAAAGGGUGUACAAGAGAAUCAAGACAUGUGCAUUCAGAAGCUAUGUUUAGGAAGGAAGGGGAGGAAGAGGCAGAGAAACGCUAAGCAUUCAGUGUGCUUCAAUGAGGACACAGUUCAGGAUUUUAUGGGUGUUCGUGCAUUUGUUCAGUCUGCAAAUAUUUAUUGAUUGCCUGUCAUGUGCUUGGCACUGCCCUUGGCACUGGGGAGACCUUGCCCUCAUGGAGCUUACAUUCUGGUGGGGGGUGUCCAGACAGUCAGGAAGCACAUUAUUUAUGGCAGAUGGUGAUAUGUGGCAAUAAGGUGAUAUGUGGGCAGAGACCAGAAUGAAGAGAAGGGCUGAGCUAUGCCAUGUUCUGGAGGGACCUGGAAUGCAAAGGCCCUGCCUGACAUGGGAGACACUUGGUGUGGUCAGAGAACAACAAAGGCUCGAGUCCUUCUGAGUCAGCAGACAUAACAUCUCUGUGUGACCCUCCACCUGUGUCUUCCUGGCUCCUUGCCACCCCUGCCCUGCCUUCCCCUCUCCCAGACUUCUUCCUUUGUCACGAGAUUCCUAGGUUUUCUUUAACUCCCAGGUGUGUUCUUUUUACAUUUCUGUAACAUUGUUACAUGACAUGGUUUUCAGCAUGCACCCCCCUCCUGUGGGUUUUGUUUUUCUCACUUGAUUUUGUGACAUACGAUUUCUACAUUACAAAAUCUUCCAAAGCGAACAUUUAAGUUCGCCCCAUCCCCUAAGACCUGCUCCUCCACCAGCCUUUUCUAUCUCAGUAAAUGGCAACCCCAUUCUUCAGUUGCUUAGGCCAAAAAACUCAAGAGUCAUCCCAACUCAAUUUUUUCUCUUACAGUCAGUCAAUACCACAUCAGCAAAUCCUGAGAAGCCUGAUCUUCACAAUAUGCCCAGAAUCCAACUACUUCUUAGAUCUCCUCUGCCACUGCUCUAAUCCAACAUCUCUGGCCUGGAUUAUUGCCAGAACCUAAAUACUAGUUUCUCUGUCCCUGUCCCCCUAAAGUCUUUCCUCAAUAUAAACAUAAAUCAAUUCAUGCAAACUCUCUAGUGGCUUUGUAUUUCACUCAGAGUAAAAGCCAAUGUCCUUACCAUGGCCUACAAGACCAUCCCUGCCCUACCUCCCCCUUUCUCUGUGACCUCAUCUUCUACCAUUUUCCUCCCUGAUCUCUCUGCUUCAGUCAUACCAGCUUCCUUCCUUUUCCUCAAACAUGGCAGCCACAACCUGCCUCAGGGCCUUUGCACUGGCUAACCCCCAGCCUGUAACACUCUUUCCAUAUGGCUUAUCCCCUUACUUCCUUCAAGUCUCUUUUUUAUUCUCUUCCACCAGUGCUACUUUCCCUUGUCAUUUCAAAUGGCACCGUCUUCCCCCAUCCUUCUUCCUCCCUGCCACUCCCAGACAUUCCCUACACCCUUUUAUGCUCUAUUUUUUUCUCUAGCACCCAUAUGGCAUUCUGAACAUUUACUUGUUUGGCUUCUUGCCGUAAACUGCAUGAGGACAGAGACUUUAUCACCGCUGUUUAUUGUUCCAGCCUCAGCUUGUAGACAGGCCUGACACUUUUCAGGCAUCAGUAAAUAUUUGUUAACUACAUUAAAAUUAAAUAAGUUGUCCUUGUGAGUCCUGGACCUGAGGCUGAGGCAGAGAUGUGGGAGCCCUUUCUAGAUACUCGCCUUCGGUCUGAGUUACAAACUUCAGGGUGUCCACCAAGAUUCCACCCUCUCUCUGCAGUUCGUAGGUUGCGCUGGCAGAAUACUGUUCUACUUCUCCAGUGGGCUUCAGUUCCAGAGCAAACCUAAAGGUGUCACAGUGUGUAUGGUGCAUGUUAGAGCUUUCAGCAAUGAGAUUAAGGACCCCCAAACAAUUUAGCCUCUAUUUCAACAACAAAAAAAUUUUUCCUUAACAUUGGCUCUUGUCCCUAACUAAUGAUGACCCUUCUGAUCCCUUUCAGUCCCUCCAAAAGCCACGGUUAGGGAAGACCCCCAGGGUGUUUGGACAAACAGAGCCGGAGCUGGCCGGUUGUGUUAGCAAAGCUGAGGACAAGUAGAAGUGCCGAGAGUUGAAGGCAAGGAGCCCUUAAGCAUGGCCAGGGCUUUGAACACACCAGUGGGCUCCAGGAAAAGUUGUGCUAACGUGUCUCGAGGCUCAGAAAUAUGGACAUUGAAUUAGGAGCAAAUUGGAAUCUGUGCUGUGAUCCCAUUAUCUAAUGCAUAAGGGAGAAAAAGGGGACACCAUCUACAAAGAGAGGCUUUUAAAGGAAUAUCUCUCACUGGCAAUGCUACAGCUCCCUUGAAGGAGUGUGAUGGAAUCACUUUGUUAAUUUUUGAGCUGAGACUUCCUUAGGGGUUGUGACUGCUUACCUUCCUGCCCCACCCUUCCUCACCUAUGGAGAAACUCCAUCCUACACUCAAAGUUUAGUAGGAAUACAAGUACACUUCAGGUGCGUUGGGACAGAGGACCACUAUCGUAACUAAUCAAAAGGUGGUGCAAACCCCUAAAGCUGGUGGCACAGCCUCUUAGAACACACAGCAGGUUUCCCCUUUCCUGCCAGGUGGCCACAACGUAGGAGGUGAGCAGAAGCUGGGUGGGACAUCAAUCAUCUCUGACCUGGUGCCCCCGGGCAGCAGACAGUAGGAGGUGGCUUCUGGGGAACUGGCGUUGGAGUAAGAGCCCGAGGUGCAGUAGUCCAGGCCAGUAAAGAGAGGCUUGCAAGUCGACCAGGACUGCCUGUUCUCAGUGAGAGGUGGAACCUCUUGUGUUUUGGUGGUAGAGACCAAAUGCAACGUGUUACUGGUGAAGAAAGCACAAACCCUAGUUACCUUCAAGUCAUGAGUUGAAGUGAACAUCACUGAUUCUCUCAGUGCUAAUAUUUGCCCCCUUAACCUGCUUUCUCUCUCCUCUCUGUCCAUACCCACCCCAAAUUAUUUGAUUUACAGAAACAACUAACAGUACGAACAUCAGCAAGGCUAACAAACACAGUGACUUUUCCAUUACAGACAUUGUACAAGUCGUUUACUUUUGUUAGCUGUGAUCCCUACAACAGCAGACAUCAGGAGGCGCCUUCUUUUACAGAGGAAACAGAGACUCAGAGAUGUUAAAUAAUGAUCACUGGGGCCUAAACUCAGGUCUUUUCCCAUGAAAAGAAGGCUAGAAGGAACUCUUACUAUACUGGCUUCUUUCCAUUUCUUUCCCACAUGAAACCUGUCCAGGUCACCUCUCCCAUUGCGUGAAUGCACGCCUGGGCACACACCUCACUCACACCCCUUUCUUUCCCUGCUAGCCCCUUCUUGUCUACCUCCCAGUCAAGAAACCUGUCUGCCUUUGUGGUCUCCAUCCUUUCAAAACGCUUCUCACUGAACUGUUACUGUGCGUCUGGGAUUGCUUCCAUCAGCAUCUCCAAUCACUGUCUUGCUUCCAACUCCAAUAGACACUUUUAGGCAUUAUUUUCCUUGAUCUCCCAGAAGUAUUUAGUAGAGCUUCUCACUUCUGGCCAGAUUAAGACUUUAGCCACCCUUCUCUCAAGUAUGUAUUUGAACACGUUAGGAAGUGUGACAAAGUUCAACAAUGUCCCGAUUUCUCCAAGGAUGCUUUCUUUGACAUAUCAUGUUCUUUCCUCAGUACUGUGUCCUCCUUUUAGGGGUGCCCUAAAAUCUAGCUUUUCUGUGGGACCGGAGCCCUGAGUGCCAGCUUUGGCUGCCAAUGGGGCGAUCCACCCUGGUGGCCACUUCUGGGCUUCUAUGACCCUUUAUGACAGAAGACAAGGCUGGUGCUUCUGUCUCUGGCCACUCCUUCUCACCCUUUGCUGUUCCCCUCUCACCCCACACGUUAACAUUUCCCACAUUUCUGUGCUAGUCCCUCACGUCUUACCCUACACCAAUCGCUGUUUGACCUCAACAACCUCUAUCUGCAGGUGCUAAGUCGGUAUCUGUAGCUCCAGCCUGCUUACCAAGCUCAGACCCAUUGGUCCCACUGCCACUGGAGAUUGUAACUGGUUGUCUCACAGGACUUCAAAUGCAGCAUAUCCCAAACUGAAUUUGUCAGCUUCCUCCAAACCAGCUGCUUUCCCUAUUUCAGCGAAAGACACCCCCACUGCCUUUUCCUCUUUCUUUUUCCUCAACGCCACGUCUGGUCAAUCACCAAGUGCUCUUGUUUCCACCUCCUGAGACUUUCUGGAGUAGGCUCACUCCUCUCCGCACCCUCCCUGGCACUCUUGUGCAGUCUGCGACCUGUUCUCACCCACACGUGGGUGUGACAGAUUCCAGCCAGUCUCUCUGACUCCAGUCAUGCUUCCUUUCCAUCCUUGUCCCACUCUGGAGUCAGAGGAGGUCUCCUAAAACACCAAGCUUGCUUGAUUUAUGCUCCCAUUUUAAACUCCUUUGCCUUCAGAAGAGUCCAGCACCCUUCAGAUGGCUGAGAAGGCUGACCCUUGCCAGCCUCUGUCACCUCCCUCCCUGUCCCCUGUGCACUUCACCACACUGAGUUUUGAGUUUCUUGCAGCUCCUGAACCACAUUCUUGUUCCUUCGGGCUGUUCUCUUCUCUUGGCCUGGUAACACUUAUUCCUUUAUCUUUUUUCUGCAUAUCUCUGACAUGGUCUUCAUGUCAAUUUCUUCAGAAAGCUUUCCCUGAGUGGCCCAGCCUACCUCAUACAGAACUUCAUGUCCUUCUGUGCUUCCUCUCAGGCCUCCGUUUAUUCUUAGGGUUUGCUUCCCUGCAUGUCCUAUCUGUGAACUUUAAGUGCUAGAAGGUCAGGGACCUUGUGUAUCUCAUUUAACAUGCUUCGUAUAGAUUUGGCACUUAAAUACCAUUUUUACUAUUUUUGAAUCGACAAAUUAAUGUGUCCAAGAUAUAGAAACUAAGGCAAAUCAAUGUUUGAGGAUAUCAUCGAAAAUGGAGCUCUCCAAAUACGCUGCCUCCCAUAGUCAUGAGAUUAAGACUUUCCUGCUCUAUCCGCUGAGCUAGUUACCACAGAUCAGUAUGUCCUCUGGUAUUUUUCCUGUGAAAAAAAUGUUCAUUUCCCAAGGAUGAUUUUUCUAGAGUUUGUGUUUCUUCUCAAAACAAACAAAUAAACAAUACCAAAAAUCACCUAAUAAGAAGUGAUUAAUUAGCAAGUCCUAAAUCUCAGUUUGGUAAAAUGUGGACAGUUGAGGAAACUGAAAUUAUGUAAUGAGUCUAGGCUAGGUUAAAAGUAGGUAAUUCACUACAUUCUCUCCCCCCCACACCCCCACGGCCACAGGGCCUUGAAUUAUGUUGGGCAGCCAAGCCCUACAGAUCCAGCCGCAACCUUCUCUCUUACACUGGCUAAUCAGAGCCAGAAAGAGAAUUACCUGCCACUGAACAGCCUGAUUGGCCUCGUAGGAGACGGAACUGUGAACUUCAGCUGCCCGGCUUUCAUGGCAACUUGCACACCCAGGCCUGUCUCGUGGAAGAAGUUGGUGUUCAUUUGGAUCCCCGUCCUUGAAAAGUCCGGGAUGAUGAUGUCCAUAUUUGUCACAAACUCCACGGACACAGAGGGCUUUGCCAUCAGCUCUGCCUGCAUCUUUAAGUCAGAAAACGACCUGUUCAGGUUCAUUAAACACCUCAGGCCCCUGGCGUCAGAUCAAGUGCCCUUCCCCACCCAUGUGCUAACAUCUCUGGAUAGCUCACACCUUAGGAAACAUUAUUGUGAUUUCUUUUUUUUUUUUUUUAAUGUUUGUUUGUUUGUUUGUUUGCUUAGAGAGCCCAUGCAUACAUGCCAGAGGGGCAGAGAGAGAGACAGGGAGAGAGAAUACCAAGCAGGUCUCCUUCUGUCAGUACGAAGCCUGAUGUGGGGCUCGAGCCCAUGAACUGUGAAAUCAUGACCUGAGCUGAAAUCAAGAGUCAGAGGCUUAACCAAUGGAGCCAUCCAGGCACCCCUACUGUGAUUUCUUUGGAGGAAGAAAAGCCACGUUCUCAGUUCCCUAGAGCCAGACAUUGAUACCCAGCACUAGGAAGUGCCCUAGUUAACUUUAGGCAUAACAGGAUGAAAAGAUGACAGGAAUCCUCAUUUAUUGAGAGAAUAGCCGUCUCCUUACUGCCAGGAGCUAGCAAGGUGGUGCCUCCUAGUGGAAUCUUAAAGUUCAUAAAAAUGAGUAGGGCGAUUACAAUGAUGAUGUACUUCAUCUUCAACUAGACACACAUUUUAAAAUUGUACAAGAAACCCACCCCUGAGGAAAAGAAUGAUCUAAGGAAUCAAAACAAUGAACAGGAUCUUACACUGGCUACUUCCAGCUUCAUUCCACCCCUGAUUCCAGGAGUGAUGACUCCAGAGGAGGAGAUUUGCAGUUGUAACCCAAGUCCGGUGGGGAGUUCAAAGGCGUUGUCCAUGAAGAUGUAGUGAAGAAACAAGUCGCUCCUUAAACCUUUCUUGAUGGCCUCUCCAAUCUGUGGGUCCAACGGGGUACAGUAACUACAAGUAAGCCUCAUCAAACUGGGGUUUGUGAAAUGUGACUUCCCACAUAUCACACAAUAAUUGUUUGUUAUCCAGAAGGGACAGACUAGCAUAUUUUGAUUAUCUGAGUAUUUGACAAAAUUAAUGAUUAUCAGUUUUGACAGGUUGGGAUAUAAGAAAUUUCCCUGGAAAGAUACCAUGUCAUUUUGAACUAGUGGUUUGGAGACCCUUGAGAAUAUUGCCGUGCCUCAGAGCUUUAUGUGCUUUAAGUAGCCUUGAAUGGCAUGGCUUAAUUCCAGUUAUUUGGAGUCUCAACAUAAAUGAGGUUUUAUGUAAGUGUAAUAUAUUAUGAUAAAACCAUUUCUUUUUGAAACCAAUGAGCUAUUGACAUGAUAGACAUAAUAGUAGGUAUUAGUUUUUUUUUUAAAUGACAUUUCUAGAAAAUAACUUGUGGUCUGUUUUCUUAAAGCCAACAUUGUUAUUUAUCAAAUACCAGGUAAUAUAUUUGGAUAUUUUCUACCUUAUUAAUAAAUUAAUAAUAGUGGAAACUAUAGCUCAUAUUUAGAUAGUGGACUACAGUUUGUCAAAUACAUUCCUUCAUCAUUAUAAUUUCAAUAUUAAAAGGAACCUGUAACAUAGAUAUAGGGAGGUAACACUUAAUAUUUUUUUCCAGAUGAACAAAUGAAUGCUCUAAAAGAUAUACCUAACGUUACAAAUGGCCUAGUUUCUAAAUGUUACCAAUUAUUUGCAGUCUAAGAAUCUUCCUCUCUGAAAUUCAAGGCAAUUGAAUUGCUUCUUUGAAGGAAGUACCAGCACUUUCUCUGGUUUGUGGGACAGGAUUGUAAGGAGUCUGGGAGAUCUAAAAAGAGCACUGGCUAAUCUCCUUGCCCUAUCAUGGGGCCUGGCCGACUUACCAUCUGGGGGACCCCCUGCAGAGUGCGAACACCAUUCAGCAGCAGCUUUCCCAGGAGCUGGAGGUCAUGGAGCCUGACAAAGCCAAGCUCCUCUCCCAGGAUGCGGAGGUAGGCUCUGGCUUCUGGGAAUUCUCUGGAUUUCAAAUCUUUGAUCAGUUUCUCAAUAUUGAGCAUAAUUCCAUUGACCAUGUCCUGGGAUUUUAACAACAAAAUGUCUAAUGAGAUGUCAGCAUUGUCAGACAUUUAGAGUCCUGAUGUGGGGCCCAUCUGCUGCUGCCAUGAUGGGCUAAACACAAGUAUUCAAGGUGGGGAUCUAGGGAAGCCACUGAAAUCAGACUCCCACCUUUUACUGAAAAAUAGAUAGCUCCUCCAAACUGAGAUGAAAAACAACAACGACCCUGAAGUCUUACCACGGAUAGCAAUGCUUCCACACUGUUCUUAAUUUGAAUAAUGCAGGCAUAGGAAGAUGUCAGGAUUCAUAGGGCUAACCAGGAGUAGAAGAUUGUCUAUCCCUCACCCUUCCCAGCUUAUCCCUUUCUUCUCUGAUAAGGGAUGAAUACUAGGGGUUUCUUGAGAAAAUGAAGCUGCUGUAUAAAUUGGCCAAAUGCUUUAAAAACACACCAUCCUAGACAAGUUCUUCUUAGAGUUAAGAAGAAUUCUAUAGAUUGAUGCUUAGUCAUUGAGAAAGAAGAGAGUGUUGAUAGACCCAGAACACAGCAAAAAGCCUCAGCCUCAGGUGGAGGUAGUUAAAUUACAAGGUGGAGGUGGGGCCAUCUGUGAACAUCUAGGAGUAAAUUAUUGCCCUGUCUUUCAAACUGAAAUGUGCAUACAUGUCACCUAGGGAAUGUCCUUAAGAUGUAGGUUCAGAUUCAGUAGAUCCUGGUGAGGCCUCAGAACCUGCAUUUCUAACACAUUCUGAUGUGAUGCAAUUGCCUGAACCACACUUUGGGUAAGGCAAAAAAUUAAAGAAUAAGAAACUCCAGGUUAUUCAAUCUGCUUUCUUCUCCUUAAGUGGGGUCUUAUGCUGGCUUCAAAGUGGUUUGCUCCCACUAGCUAGUACACUGAUAUGAGUAAGAGCCAAAAAAAGCAGUUAAUUAUGAAAAUAUGAAUUCAAAAAUUGUAAUAGUAUCUGCUUAUUGAUCAAUCAGUACCAGUCAGGCACUCUGCUUAGCAUUUUACAUACUUUACUUCAUUUAGUUUUUAAAUCACCCUGGGAGGCAUGGAUUAUUGGCACACUCUGGGGAUGUAGAAACAGACAUAAUAUCAAACAGCUUUUCUAGGUAUGCAGUUUGAAGACAGUGUGGUGAGAAUUCAAACCCAUGCCCCCGAGUUUACACUCUUAAUCAUCAUGUGAGAGCGCCUCUAAUGAGUCUGGCCGCUGGGCACAUUGAAUAUCCAGGAGGCUUAUAAUUACAGAGGACAUAGUCCUUAUCCCCAUAGGACUGGUUAAUAACAGUCGUAACUGUCACUUCAGCUAGACAGUUCCUUGAUGACUUCUAGGCUUGGAUAAAAUGUUUUCACAUUGAGACCGAAAGCCUUCCUUGAGGGAGUACUUAACAAAAACAUACCUGCUCAUGUUUAUCACCUUUGGUAUAGCCAAAAUGGUCCACCAAGACCUUGGAGACAUGAUCAGGAACUUGGCCAUCCACCCAGUACAAAGCCUUGUUGACACUGUCUGGGAAAAAUCCUUGCUUUCCAAAAAGAGCUUCCAAUGUUGGCUCAAAGCCUUUUCCUUCCAAACCAAUCU